ensembl:lncRNA
CCAGGCUCGGAGCGCCCGGCCGCUGCGGGCGGCGGAGCUCGGCGAAGACACGGUGGAAGGAAAUGAAGAAAUCCUGUGCAGACUCUAUGAAUCUCUGCUGCUGAUUCCCAGUAGCCCCAGGACAUGCUCCUUUCUGCCCCCAAAGAAACACCAUCUCCCUCGCCUGCUGCAUCCCCCUGUUCCGCGUGAAGCCACUGCCUACCUCAGAGCAACAGCUUCACCCGAGCAAAGAGAUUCAUCAGCUCUGGCAGGAGGUCAUCUCCGCGAUCAGAAACGGGCUUUCCAGCAUCAGUGGGUGAUGUUCUGAGACUUUUCUUAUGUCAAUAGCAGAGCUGAGAGGAUGCCUCACUUUUCCAUCUGAAUUUGUAGCAUUACUGGAGCACAGCCGGGCAGCAGCCAUCUCAGGACAAAAGUUUGAUUUCCGUCAUGCCCCAUGGAGGCAUCAUAGAGAAUGGUGAGGUUUGAAGAAAGAUAAUGAAAUAGCUCAGGACUGUUUAUGUAAACCUUCCCGGAAAUCUGUGAGGUAGGAAGAGAGAAAGCACCAAGGUGCCUCUUACUAGUAUAACAAAUCGUGUUGCCAUUCUCAGUUGCCUGGGACUGGUGCUUUCAGCUCUUCUGUGCUGGCUGUAAAAUGAACUGACUUCUGCAGUCAGCAUUUACAGACAUGUUUCUAUAUACUGGUACUGAAAAAAUCUUUUGCAGAAUGACUUGCCUAGCCAAUAAAUCUUGCUUUCUAUUUCUUCUUCUUCUUCUUCUUCUUCUUUUUUUUUUUUUUAAUGUAACAUUAUAUUAGACCAUCAAGUGUUAAAAUCAUCCUUUUUCACAAAACUUAUAAAUGGCUUCCUUACUGUAACAUCCCUGAAAGCACCCCGCUAUCUCAUUUUCUAAAUCCUUCUGUAAUAUUUUGUCUGGUUUUAUAGAUCAUUAUUUUGAGCCUGAAUAUUUAUUUGUGGAAAGAGAAUAAAUUUUGAUAGGAAUGCUGUAGGAUCAGUUUUUUGAUCUUUGUAGCACAGUUUUAAGCAGGUAAGAUCUACUUAAUGUUAUAGAGGUCAAAAUUGAAAUUGCUGAUUCUGGGAAUAGAGAAGAAACUCCCCCUUUCAGUGCUUUAAUUUCUCUAAGAAACCAACCAUAAAUAAAUAAAAAGAAUGUGG